AUUGAACGCUGGCGGCAUGCUUUACACAUGCAAGUCGAACGGUAACAGGCCGCAAGGUGCUGACGAGUGGCGCACGGGUGAGUAAUGCAUCGGAACGUGCCCAGUCGUGGGGGAUAACUACUCGAAAGAGUAGCUAAUACCGCAUACGAUCUAUGGAUGAAAGCGGGGGACCGUAAGGCCUCGCGCGAUUGGAGCGGCCGAUGUCAGAUUAGGUAGUUGGUGGGGUAAAGGCUCACCAAGCCAACGAUCUGUAGCUGGUCUGAGAGGACAACCAGCCACACUGCGACUGAGACACGGCCCAGACUCCUACGGGAGGCAGCAGUGGGGAAUUUUGGACAAUGGGCGCAAGCCUGAUCCAGCAAUGCCGCGUGCAGGAAGAAGGCCUUCGGGUUGUAAACUGCUUUUGUACGGAACGAAACGGCUCUGGUUAAUACCCGGGGCUAAUGACGGUACCGUAAGAAUAAGCACCGGCUAACUACGUG
rnacentral:rRNA from 1 species